UACGGAGGGUGCGAGCGUUAAUCGGAAUUACUGGGCGUAAAGCGUGCGUAGGCGGUUUGAUAAGUCGGGGGUGAAAUCCCGAGGCUCAACCUCGGAACUGCCUUCGAUACUGGAAGUCUUGAGUCCGGGAGAGGUGAGUGGAACUCCGAGUGUAGAGGUGAAAUUCGUAGAUAUUCGGAAGAACACCAGUGGCGAAGGCGGCUCACUGGCCCGGUACUGACGCUGAGAUACGAAAGCGUGGGGAGCAAACAGG
rnacentral:rRNA from 1 species